rnacentral:piRNA from 1 species
AAUAAAGAUCUCAUGUUCUGCUU